AACCUUAUGGACCUGCGGGCGUAUACCUGCGGAAGGAUCAUUACCGAGUUUACAACUCCCAAGCCCCUGUGAACAUACCUAUACGUUGCCUCGGCGGAUCAGCCCGCGCCCUGUAAAAAGGGACGGCCCGCCCGAGGACCCUAAACUCUGUUUUUAGUGGAACUUCUGAGUAAAACAAACAAAUAAAUCAAAACUUUCAACAACGGAUCU
rnacentral:misc_RNA from 1 species